UUGCAGAAACGUAUUUGCAGCACAAAGACAUCAGUGCGGUAGAAACAACACAAGAGGCUAAUACUGCGUUUAGAAGACAUAUAGCAAUUCUUCUAAUGAAGGAGUCAGAAAGCGUGGAGGACUACUGCAUAUACUGCAACUUUAUCAACUGUGAAAAAGAAAUUGAGGAUUGCACAAUGGUCCAGUGUGAUUCUUGCAAGAGGUGGGCACGUAUACCCUGCAUUACAGAAGGAACCAAUCAAGAAAACCUGACAGAUGAGAAGAAAGAGUACAACUGCAAGAAAUGUGCAUAGUUCACUUCAUUACCCC